rnacentral:rRNA from 1 species
UGGCGAACGGGUGAGUAAUACAUCGGAACGUACCCAGAAGUGGGGGAUAACGCAGCGAAAGUUGCGCUAAUACCGCAUACGUUCUACGGAAGAAAGUGGGGAUCGCAAGACCUCAUGCUUUUGGAGCGGCCGAUGUCUGAUUAGCUAGUUGGUAGGGUAAAGGCCUACCAAGGCGACGAUCAGUAGCUGGUCUGAGAGGACGACCAGCCACACUGGAACUGAGACACGGUCCAG